CUGGCUGGCUGGCUGGCUGGCUGACUGACCUGCUGAGCAAAUCCUUACACCCACAAGGAAAUGAAAACGGACCCAGAAAGUGAUAAAAGCAGACUGCGUUCCGACAGACACUCCAGGGACCACACAGCUAAAGUUGCAUGAAUGUGCUCAGUGACUCAUGGCACCUUAUCACUGAGACCUUUGGAAACUUUUGGAGAAUUAAACCUCUCACAAGUCAAGGGAGGGGGCUUUGGGAGAACCCAGCCCCAGGCUUUCGGUGCACAGGAUCAGUCAGGCGUAUGAACUCAGUAUGUGAGAGGCCAUGGACUGUCAGAGCAGUCACAAGUCUCAAGCAGGGCAGCCUGCGCUGAAUCCAGCCCCAGAUACUCCGCUGCUUUGCCUGUGCUGGGCUCCAUCCACCGUGAUUUGGGUUCAUUGCCAGGAAUCAAAAUAGAGCAUGCCCACUAGCCUGCUGCAGCCUGGGACUCAGCCAAAGCUGGAGCCCCAAGCAGGAAGCACCCAGGAGGCUGGUUCCCUAGCAGUGCCCGGCAUGUGGCUAGCGCAGAGGAUCAUGGGAAACCAUUGCCGGAUGUGGUCUUGGGGAGGAAAAUAGAAGCUGAGUGAUUGCAGCUCUAGCAAAAGGACUCCUGGGAUGCGCAGAACCACGAGGGAGCUCUGAAUGCACCGGGUGAGAGAAGCCAGACUCCCUGCGGUUUCAUUUAUAUGGAAAAAUCAAGACCGAAUUGGAGAGCCAGGGCUACCUGAGGGGAAGGGAAAGACAAAGCCCAGAGAACCCUGGGAGGGAUGGACUCUAGGGCCUGACCCUACAAGGUCACACAAGUGUUUAGGUUUGGAUAUCUGAAUGCUUUUUCCGGGGAGGUGGGGGGUGAGGGUGGAGGGGUGGGAGGGGGAGGAUUCCCAGGUCUUUGAUUCUACAGUCCCUGCCCCCACCCCGUUCUUUUUCUCAUCCCGCUAUGGAUCACAAUAUUUAGCCAAGGGGCUGGAGGGAUGUCUCCGAGGUUAAGAAGAAUAUUGCUCUUGCAGAGAACAGAGUUCAGAUCCCAGUGCCCACCUCUAGGGACUCCCAUAAGUCUGUAACUACCUGCGGGUGACCUGGUACCCUCUUCUGACCUCCAGCACCAAGCACAUACCCACUAACAGACACACAUAUAUACAAAUAUUUUUUUAAUCCUUAAAAACCAAUGUUAAGCAAGAAGAAAAAAAAAGGACUGCCUUGAGCUGGGAAUAUAGUUCAGUAGACACAGUGCUUGCCCAGAACUCACAAAGCUCUGGGUUUGGUCCCAACACUACAUAAACUGGACUUGGUAGCAAGGAAAACUGCAUUUCUACUGAACAUACACAGAAAAUGUUCCUGUUAUUAUUCCCUGAAACAUUUGGUAGAAUAACUUAAUGCAGCAUUUAUAGUGUAUCAUGUUAUUACAGUUAUUAUUUGAUGGCAAUGCCUCCAAGAACCAAGGUCUGGCACAGACAAGGCAAGUGCCCUGCAGGGAGGCCUCCACAGCCCACCUAGAACUGACUAACAGUGUUCAGAGAAGAUCAGGUGAGGUUACAAAAAUCACCACCUCACCACUACUAUAUACAAACAUUUAUAGAUAGAGGGAAGGGAUGCCACAGAGCCUGAAGAUAGAAAAGACUUUAAAAGUUUUUCACACACACACACACACACACACACACACACACACACACACACACGACUCCUGGCACUCCUCUGCUUCAGAGCCUUUGCACCACAGCUCUCUAACGCAGGGUAUUUUCCCCCUCAACCCUUCUCAGGUGACUCCUAUGACCCUGGCUAACACCCUUGGGGCUCAGCUCUUUUGUCUCCCACCUGGUUUUUCAGCUAGCCACCUGUCCAUAGUCCUGAGUCUCCUGUAGGGAGUGGUUCUGCUGCUCUGGUCAUGAAUGACUGUUGAAGGACCUGUUCCCCAAUUGGUUUAGGGGAGAUUUAGAGAUGUUGAAUUGAAAGUGAAGAUAAGGCCACGUUAGCCGUGGGAAGCUUAAAGUGUCUGGCCAAAAAAAAAAAAAAACCCCAUAUUAAAACUAAGUGUGUGUGUGUGUGUGUGUGUGUGUGUGUGUGUGUGUGUGUGUGUGUGUGUGUGAGAUCCUCAGAUCCGGGAUGGCUUCUGGGUGUGUGCAAGAGUGCAUCCAGCCAGGAACACAGAGCAGAGCAGUGUAGCAAAAACUACACGCAACAGUCUCCCAGACCCACGGCCUGUGUCCUUCCUUAUUUUCAGUCAACCUUGGAUACCCAGGUGACCAUUUCCCAUCCUUUGCCCACUGGCCUGUUUCUAUAUGUUCCCACUGUUCUACUGCCUAUUCCUUGUGGACAGGGCUAGUCUGUGGUUACAGCGCAGCGUCCUGGAGCCUACAGCAGUACUCGCCCACACUGCACUUUGGAUGGAGCAGCCCUGCCUGCAGUCACACAAACUACCACACGUGUGCUCAGGACAGAAGGGGCCAGUCUUCAGCACUAUGCAUACGAGUCCAUCCACAGAACCCCUUCCUCUCCUUACCUUCCCUGCAGGCCCCUGAAUUCAUGUCCUGAACAGAUCUUGAGGGGCCUCACUUUCCCCAUACGUGGCAAGUUUCACCCGCCUCUCACAAACUGAAAUUCAAAAGGUGUCAGUUAAUCUCCAGAUUAUUACCACCGUGAAGAUGUGAUUGAAUCAGUUUGGGGUAGGGAUAGAUUUCCUAUUUUCUUUCUAUCUUGGGAUACAGGGACCCAGGCCCAUUCCAAGUGGCUUCUUAGGUCACUUGGAUUCAGCAGUGCAGAAAGGGGUCUUCAGAGGCUGGCCCCAAGCCAAGAUAUGAAGGAACUGGGAUGUGAAAGAGAGUAUUAGUCUCCACCCAAACUUCCUGAGUCUGAAACUAGGGUGGAUGUGGAGAGGUUGAUCCCACGAGGGAAACUCUUUAGGGGUUUCCCUGAUGCUCAAGUUUGAGAGCCACUGCUCUGGGAAGUAGACUGGUUCUGUCUGUCUGUCUAAAUUUUUAUGAGUAUUUUGCCUCUAGGCAUAUAUUUGCACCACGUAUGCUCUUGGUGCUAAAGAGGGCACGAGGUCCCCUGAAACUGGAGUUAUAGGAGAUUGUGAAGCACCGUGUGGAUACUAGAACUAACAUCUGGGUCCUCGGUAAGAGCAGCAAGUGCCGUUAAUCACUCCACCAUCUCUCCAGCCCCUGAGCAGGUGCUUUUUGCCUCAGCAGCUCACAGAAGCACCCACUCGGAUAGUUUAAGAAACCCUGACACAGGGUUGGGAUCGAGCACAAUGGCAGAGUGCUUGCCAGAGCCAGAGGCCCUGGAUAGCGUCCCCAGAACCACAGAAGAAAGCCUGGUGCUAACUGGGCAUGGUGACACACACCCUUUGACCCCAGCACUUAAGAGGCAGAGUCAGGGGCUGGAGAGUUGGCUCAGCGGUUAAGAGCACCCGACUACUCUUCCAGAGGUCCUGAGUUCAAUUCCCAGCAACACAUGGUGGCUCACAACCAUCUGUAAAGAGAUCCGAUGCCCUCUUCUGGUGUGUCUGAAGACAGCGACAGUGUACUUAUAUAUAAUAAAUGAAUAAAUCUUUAAAAAAAAAAAAAGAGGCAGAGUCAGUAGGAACUCAGCAAGUUCAAGACCAGCCUGGUGUACAUAGGGAGUUCCAGGAUAGUCAGGACUACAAGAGAGAGCCUGUUUCAAACAAACAAACAAACAAAAAAACAAACAAACCACCCAGAAACCAAAAACCAAAAACAUAAAGCAAGAUAUAAACAAAUAAAAAUAGAAAAAUGAAAUGCUGAUGUCUGCUCCUCAGCAGAAAUUCCAGUUUAAUUGGAUGUGAAACUAUUUUUUAUACUUAUUUAGACAAGGUGUCAUACAUCCCAGGUUAACCUCAAGUCCACAGCAAUCAUCCGCCCCCUCCCCCAGGUGCUGGGAUUACAGGUAUGAACCACCAUGUUUGGUUUGCUUUAUUGUUAAAUAAGCUUUCCAAAUAAUGUGAAUGGCUCAUCGGGACUCAGAAGUCUUGGCCCAGGGGUGCUGGGCACCCUGUAACAUCAUAGCUGCCCAGACGUACCCAGGCAGGCCCACUUCCUCUGCCUAAUUCCUUCACAUUCUUGCUGGAGCCUCUCUGAGGCUGCCUUCUUAUAUUUGGGUAUUUCCCCUCCCUUCCUAACACAACAAUUCAAAAUAUUCCUAGCCUCCAGACAAUAAACAAAGCCAGGGAGGCUGCUUUCCUCCUUGUGCCCACUUAUGGCCUGAUCCAAGGCCUCCCUGAUUGGGUAUUCAGGCCAUUGGGACUGGUCAUCUGAGCCUGGGCGGAGUGGGCCAAUUUUCAUUGCUACAGCCCCAGAACCCCUCAACUCUUACAUGACCCCAGGCACACCCCCAACACCACUUCCCAAAGGAAACAGAGUCUGCAAGGGUGAAUUAUUUGUGCUAAGACACACAGCAAGACUGAUAAGGCCCCUCUGGCUUGAGGUUUCCAGCUUUGGGGCAGAUGUGGGCUUUGGACUCAACAGACAGCUGUAUGGUCUUGGAUUCUGUCCCUUGUCAGCUGUUACCUUAGACAAGAGACCAGCCUCCGGGCUAAGCCUCUGAGCACUUGUUUGCAAAUGAAGUUGGCUGCAGAGCCUCAGAUGAGGUCACUGUGAAGGCCCGGGUCUGCAUAGGACCAAUGCUCAGAAUUAUUACUGUCAUUCUUGAAUGUUUUUGUCAUGACAGCAUAACUAGUAGAAAUGAACAAAGAGCCCCCCAGGGGACGACAGUGGGAUGAGGGGAUGGGGGAGGGGAGGUUCAAUGCCUAGUAUGCAUGUGUGCAAUCCCAGUGAUGGGGGAGGCCAAAGACUCAGAAGCUCUAAGUCACCAUCGGCUACAUAGUAAGUUCGAAGCAUGCCCGAGAUACGUGAGAUUCAGUUAAUAAGAAAAAGAAGACAGUGUAGGGAGAAGAGUCGGGGAGAGGAAGAGGCAAGAGUAAAAGUUAGGUCACCAGGGGUUGGGGAUUUAGCUCAGUGGUAGAGCGUUUGCCUAGCAAGCACAAGGCCCUGGGUUCGGUCCCUAGCUUGGGGGUGGGGGGAGAAAAGAAAAAAAAAAGUUAGGUUACUUAGGACUUCCUGGUAGCAGUCAUCCCCAAGAGUGACUUUUAUCUGGCUCCUCCUGCCUCAGUCAAGCUUUAACUCUAGUUAUAACUGGUUGGGGUCUGUCCUCCCCCACUACCCCUUCCUGGGAAUGGAGGCUGGACCUUAGGGGAGCUAGGCAGCAAUUUCUUUACCACCCAUCUCCAUCCUCAGCUACUAGGUGCCUUUAAGCCCAUUAUUUUCUGCCUGUGUGUUGAAAGGCUGGGAGUCCCGCCUUUAUUCCAUACAUCACGGCUCUUCAUGUAUCAUUGGUGGAGAAAUGGUGGUGAUACAUGACACACAUCACCCCUAAUACUGCAUAGACCAGGCAGGGGUGCAGGGUAACUGGAAAAGCCCUGGACUGUUCACUUGGAUAUGUGAUCAAUGUGUGGAUAGCUCUCCCUGCACAGACACUGCUUUUCCCACAAGUGGUUCAGCCAGACAAGAAAGAUAAAAAUCUGAAGGUGUCCCUUAGGCUGUUGUCUUCAGCCCGAGACAACUUUUUGCCCAGGCACCAUCCCUUGAAGAAAUGUCAACUUUUUGCAAUCCACCCAGACACCACCACCACUGGUUAGAACACACAGGGCAAUCUGUUAGUUUGGCCUUUAGAAUUUAUGGCCAUACUCUAUGUCCCAGCCACCGAUGCAUAAGGAAAGCACCUAAGCGCUGUCCUAACUGUGCUGUGUGAGGACAGAUCACCCAACCUUUCUGGGUCAGAAUUUCCUGAGAUGCAAUGACAAAAUGUGUGUGUGUGGGUAGGGGGCGGGGGUGCCUACCCAUGGAAGCUCCAAUCACUAGAAAUAACUCCAGCUAAUAAGGGAGUUUUUCUCUUUUCAAUUAGAAGCUCCUCGAGCUAGGUGCCUCAUGUCGACACCCUUUGCGACCUAUUCCGUUCUGUGCCUUUAUUUUUUAUUUAAUCAUUUGUACCCAGGCUAAGGCAAAUACCUCCAGCUCCCACCUCCUUUUCUAACAGUGCCAUCCCCAGAGAGGCGCCAUCUGGUGAUCGCAUCCAGCUAGGUGGGUGUCUUUCCAUGGUCUUCGUUUUUUAUGGGGAGUUUGUUUACUUUUGUAAAAUGUGUGUGUACCAGCGGUAUGAACCUGUAUUUGGAAAAGAAGAUCAGUGGAGGUAAUCUGUGAGGCCCCGAAGUUCUGCUGUAACCUCCGGGGAUCUGUUCUGCUCCUCUAGAGGCCUACAGUCCCAAGAUACUACCCCACCUCUGCUGGGGCUCUCAGCACUGUUUGUGUUCUCAUCUAGGUUUAUACUGGCCGCCAUCAUCCCUUGGUCUUCCUGGUCAGCAUCUCUCUAUCUCUUUCCUGCCUCUACCUCUGUGCGGAUUUUCCCCAAUAGAUCUGCAUCACCAUCUGGUCAUCCUCUGCGUCAGGCCCUAGGCGAGAAGAGAUGCAAUGGCUGAUGUGGCUUCUGGUGCUCCAAGUCUCAGUCUCCCUACAUAGUCUGUCACCUGAUCUACACCCCGAGUUUGGAAUGACUUGUAGUCAGCCACUGGAAGAGCCCUCUGAGUGCCAGGCACCGAGCAUCACUGCCCAGAAUCUGUGAGGUAGCCCAGCAUGUUGAUGUGUAUGCCUUUGUCCAUUUCACAGGUAAGGAAACAAAAUAGCAAAGUGAAGGCCCAGAUAUAUGUGCAACCCCAGAGGUGGGCGUACCAGUGUGCCUUCAAAAUGACAGGGGCUUGGGGACAUGGCUAGUCAUGUAGAGCACAGCUGUGCAAGCAGGAGGAGUUGAGUUUUGAUCCUCCGUACCAGAACAGAAAGCUCGAAAUCCGCACUUGGGUGAGAGGGUGAGGGGUAGGGGCGCAGAUGCCAGAGGAUUGCUGGGACUUUCUGGCCACCAGCCUAGUGGGGAUGGAAGACAGGAUACACAACCAAUGACAAAACCAAACAAAGAAACAAAGAAAAAACAGAAAAAAAAAAAAGACAAAAAUAGAUGCACCAAAGUAGGUGAGCUCCAGGUUCAGUGAGACUUGUCUCAAGGGAAUAAGGUGAAGGGAAUGUUGGCAGGACACUGAUGUCUUCCUAUGGCUCUCCUCACUCACAAAGGAGCAAUCACCCCUUCCACACAGAACCCUACACGAGGGUCUGGGGAUGUGACUCAGCUGCUGAGAGAUUGGCUCACAGGCAUGGAUCCCUGGGUUCUGUCUUCAGCCUCGUGAACUGGGUAUGGUGGCCUACACCAGCCAUUCAGCACUGGGAAGAUAGAGGCAGGAGGAGCAGGAAUCUCAUGUCCGUCUUCUGACACACAGCUAGGUCACGGUCAGCUUUGCUUACAGGAGACCCUGAUUCAAAACAAAGCAGCAGCACAAAGCCCUCUGCUGUGAUCGGCUGUGGUUGGCUUUUUCACAGUCGUCACCGUGCUGGCCCCAGCUGGACAAGGUCAAAUCGUGGCAGACCUUGACUCUAGACAGCUUUCCCUCAUGGCCUCACCGAAAGGGAGCCACUACUUGUGCUUGACGUUCCUCAACUCCAACCCUAUUCAUUUUUAAAUUUAUUUUUAUAUACAUAUCCACCUACAAAGAAUAUAGACAAAUGUCAGUAUUUUUCAUGUGUGCAUAUUUUGAGUAUUUUUGUUUGGUGGACUGGAUUUUUUUUUUUUGAGAUAAGAACUUGCUGUAAGCCCUUGGCUAGCCUAGUACUUGCUAUAUAUCCCAGACUAAAUUUACUAAUAGCAAUCCCCUUGCCUCAGCUUCCCAGGUGCUGGGAUUGUAGGUGUGUGACUCCAUACCUGGUCAGGGCCAUCCCUGUGCUAACCAAGAAUGGUACCACUGAGUUACAAACCUUCAUGGUCACUACAAGAAGACCAGAUGGAUGAUUCUUUUGGAACUUGUCAUUUCUCUCUCUAUGGGACAUCCCCGAGAUUCACCUGUGCUGGUACAUGCUAGCCCGGUUCACUCGUUUCUGUUACCAUAUAGAGUUUAUACCCUGGUGGUAUGAGUUUUGUUUUCCUGUUACAGGUGAGAAAAAUGGGACUCAGAGAGGUUAAAAGCCUGAGAGGAAUCAGCCAGCUUCUAAGAAACAGAAAAUCACAAGCUGGUCCCCAGAUGAUAUGGUUCCUGCCACCCUUUAUACUGAAUUAUAUGAAAACUGAAGAAAAAAAGACCCCUGGGAGACAUCUCAUCCCUGGGAGAUGGUCAGGAUGGGACCUGGCUUGACCAGGAGGUUGUCCAGGGUCAGAGAACGCCCUCAGUUCUGGAGACGUGGCUCAUCAGGUAAGAGUGCACGUCACUGUUGUAGAACGCCAGAGUGUGGGGGACCCAUACUGAGGGACACACAGUUGCCGGUGACUCCAGCUCCAGGGGAUCUGACACCCUCCUCCCCAGCCCUCUGUGCACUUGGGCACAUGCUCACUCGAAUGUCUAUAUACCCUCACAGACACAUAAAAAAUGAAAACAAAUCUUAGAAACCCCAACCACCCCCAAUCCCACAUGAGGACACAGCAUGUAGACCACAGUGGGCAUGUAGAAUACUUCUUCAACUGGGCAUGAUGGUCUGUAAUCCCAGCACCUAGAGCAAGAAGACUGUCAUGAGUGAGUUCUAAGCCAGCCUGAGGUAAAGUGUGAAGCCCUGUCCUACUAAAAGACCCUCCCCACACGCAUACCGUUUUUUCUUUAAAAAAAAAAAAAAGGUACUUUUUCCCCUGGACAAUGAAUUGGAACAGCCUGAGACAGACUCUAAGCUUCUGUAUCCUUGUUUGUAACGUGGGAUUAGUCAUUCCUACCCAGAACAUCUGAGAGUUAAAAUUCAUGGAGGGGCUGAGAUGUGGCUGGUUAGCAGAAUGCUUACCUAGCGUGCACAAAGCCCUGGGUCCAUCCCCAGCACCACUGAAACCCAAUGUGGUGAUGCAUGCUUAGGACAUUUGCACUGGAGAGGCAAAGGUGGAUGAGGAAUUCAAGAAAAAAAAAGUGAAGAGUGUCUAAUGAACCUUUAGACUAUGAAAAUACGGGGUGCUUCAAAGUAGGGAAUGAGAGAAGGGAUCACCACACCUGUGUCAUGGAUGAAGACUGCCUGUUCAUUUUUUAACUAUGAUUUUCAGGUCCUUUGCUCACCAAAGGAAGCCCAAUUCACUCAAAUGUUUUGAGAACUGUUUAAAUAAAUGCAAGAAAAAUUACUGAUAAAAAAAAAAGAGCAUCCUGGGCUAUAUAAUGAGUUUGAGGUCAGCCUGGGCUACAUGAGACUCAGUCAGUUAAUCAAUCAAUCAAUCAAUCAAUCAAUCAAAGAAUGAAAAGAUCCAGGGCCACUCUGUUAGCAGGCCAGGCUCUCACCACAGGCAGGAAGCCAGCCAGAACCCUGGGCUACCUGUCUCUCUCUCUUUACUGGUGGGAUGGUCUUUGUAGGUAUGCCUUGAUCCCACAUUUGGCUUCAGGAAGAGAGACUAUCUUCCUUCCAUUAUCUGGGUAAGGUUUAACCCAAAUCCAAGUCAUGAGAGGCCUCCAAAGACCUCCUUGCAGCUUAGACUCAAGGCUACCAGCUUUUGCCCACAUUAUCAAGGCUCCACAAUUCAGUCGUCAGCUCAUGCCCCAAACAUAUGAUCAUGUCACCCAGCACAGGAAGAAACCCCUCCUCCAGCUACCUCCACCCUUCUCCCUCCCCAUCUCUGGGGAGCAACAGUUGUUUCUCUCAGAGUUUCCACAAGCUUCUCCACCCCUCAGACCAAUAACCCUCUGUGCCUGGCACAGGCCCUGCCCUUCUUGCCAGGGGCAGCUGCUACUGGGGGAGCUGCCUACCCACGCACUCUCUGGCACCAGGCACUGGUUUAGCAUAAACAGGAGUCCACAGACAGAGCCGACCUAGAGCUCCCUCGGAAAGUGUCCCAGCUGGGACAGUAGCAGAGCCAAGCAGAGGCACAUGUGGGUGCCCUGGGUGCUAGGGUUGGCUUCUUCUAACCUUGGCUGGUUGAUCUAAUCAGAACCACCCUCACAGGGAGGCCAAACGGCACCACCCCAGAUGGAGAGGUUGCAGGUGUGCUCAGGAGCUUGGGUGCAGCUCCAGCACAGAGUGUGAUUUUGGGUUUGGUGCCCAAAAUACAACUCAGGGCAGAACACAGAGGUCAUAGGGGCAUUCGGGAGUGUGUGUAGCACAGGGAGGGUGUGUUGUCCUAGGUCCGUCCCCUAGUUUAGGACUGAGAACAGCCCCUCUGUACGUUGCUCUUGGUGCCCCUGUGUGAUACUGAGCAUGGGGACUGAGCUGAGCCAAUAUUCUAACCUGCCCCUGCUUUGGGGGUGAUAGGGGGAUGGUGAGGAAGGUGGUACUCCCUAGAGGGAUUCCGGUAAAAGUUCAGGGUCAGGAUGGGAAGUGUAUCAUAAGCUGGAAGGUCAUGACAGCAGGGGACAGUGACAGGGGACACUGAGAGCAGGAGCGGUUGGGUUGGUUGAGUGUGUGUGUGAGAGUCAGUCCUGGUAAAUGCCAGUGGGCUGCAUUUAGGAAAGAAGGAAAGAAGCAGGAGAGACAGGGCUGAAGUCACCCCCCACCCCUUUUUAAUUAAAAUUAAAAAUUUGAAACAGUGUUUCUAAGUUGCUAAGGCUGACCUUGAACUUACUCAGUAGUUCAAGCAGAUCUUGAAUUUGGAGUAUUCCUGUUUCAGCCCUAGUAGCCAGGAUUCUAGGUGUGUACCACCAGGUAUGGCUUGCCCCCAUUUUUAUAGUACAGAAAGGCAGAGUGCCGAGAGUUGAAUACCAGGCACAUUACCCCUGGUUGUUAAACUUCCCUUUCCCAGAGGACCAAAGGGUACCUGAGUUCUCAGACCUCAAACUAGCAGGUAUAGAAAAGCACUGAGGACUAACUGGUUGAAUGCAUGCCAGGGAGGGACCAGGCUCCAUUCAUACCCCAUCUAAGGCUUCUAGGACCAUGGGGGGCAGAAGAGACAAGUAGAGGAACCGAGACACAUGUACACAGCAUCUCUCUCCCCCACAGCUUCCUCCUGGGUUCUCAAGGAGCCGCACCAGGAGUUAAUGCUUCAGGCUGGGUCCUUUGGUCCUAGAUGUCAGUGUCUCUUGCACGCUCUAUGGCUUGCUAUAGGGGCUGUGUGUGUGUGUGUGUGUGUGUUGUGGAGUAGAAGGAAGAGGGUCUCUGGGCCCCCUGCUUUGUGGCUUCAUCCCUAUCUUUCUGGCUCCUUUCCCUUCACUCCAUGGACACUUACCAGGAAGUACCUUACCCAUCACACCAGUUGCAAACUGUUCAUGGCUCUCUGCAGUUUCCAGUGGACUUUCUUGUGUUUGGAUGCUCCAGUGUCUGGGUGAAGAGGCACUAGCAUGGGUAUUGUUUAUCUCCAAAGUGAAGCCAGACAGAGGGAGAGAAGGAGAGGCAGAGAAAGAGGGAGAAGGAGAAGGAGAGGCAGAGAGACCAAUGAGCAAAUAAUACUUUAGACAGACAUAAAAUCAAGAGAGACAUGGAGCCCCCAACCAGGGACAGCUGGACGCAGCAGCUGAGCUGGCCCUGGUUAAGCAGCCCCUUCACUGCUUACCACAUCCUGUUGGGGACUAGCAGACCCUUGGGGUAGGAAGAGGAAUGGAGGAAGGGAACCAGCUGGCUGUAGGCUAUGUUGUCUCAAAUGUACCUGAUGGGACACUCCCCUAACUGGUGCUCCACCUCCUCCCAGCUAUGUGGGCCUGUGCUCGUCAGUCUGGAUCUUAGGAUCUCAGGCUCCUCACUGAAAUGAGUCUGUCUAGCAAGUGUGUCCAUGCCUGCUUGUAAUCCCAGCACUCAAGAAACUGAGGCAGGAGGGUCACCACGGGUUCCAACCCAGCCUGGACUAUAAUGAGAUCCUGACUCAGAAAAUAGAUGUUAAGAUAGCUCAGCUGUGUUUGCCAUGCAAAUCUGAUGACCAGAGUUGGCUCCCUAGAAUUCACAUAAAAGUGAAAGGAGAAAAAAACCCGACUCCUCAGAGCUGUCAAGGAACCUCAAAAGCAUGUGUGUUGAUGUCAUAGGCACACUAAUAGUAAAGUUAAAAAGAAAUAAAAUGAUUUGUACCAA